UGGGAAUUUGGACAAUGGCGCAAGCCUGAUCCAGCAAUGCCGCGUGCGGGAAGAAGGCCUUCGGGUUGUAAACCGCUUUUGGCAGGAACGAAACGGUGUCCGCUAAUACCGGGCGCUAAUGACGGUACCUGCAGAAUAAGCACCGGCUAACUACGUGCCAGCAGCCGCGGUAAUACGUAGGGUGCGAGCGUUAAUCGGAAUUACUGGGCGUAAAGCGUGCGCAGGCGGUUGUGUAAGACAGGCGUGAAAUCCCCGGGCUCAACUGGGAAUGGCGCUUGUGACUGCACGGCUGGAGUGCGGCAGAGGGGGAUGGAAUUCCGCGUGUAGCAGUGAAAUGCGUAGAUAUGCGGAGGAACACCGAUGGCGAAGGCAAUCCCCUGGGCCUGCACUGACGCUCAUGCACGAAAGCGUGGGGAGCAAACAGGAUUAGAUACCCUGGUAGUCCACGCCCUAAACGAUGUCGACUGGUUGUUGGGUCUUAGGUGACUCAGUAAACGAAGCUAACGCGUGAAGUCGACCGCCUGGGGGAGUACGGCCGCAAGGUUGAAAACUCAAAAUGAAUUGACGGGGGUCAUAGCUAUUUCCU
rnacentral:rRNA from 1 species